rnacentral:rRNA from 1 species
UGGGGAAUUUUGGACAAUGGGCGAAAGCCUGAUCCAGCAAUGCCGCGUGUGUGAAGAAGGCCUUCGGGUUGUAAAGCACUUUUGUCCGGAAAGAAAUCCUUGGCUCUAAUACAGUCGGGGGAUGACGGUACCGGAAGAAUAAGCACCGGCUAACUACGUGCCAGCAGCCGCGGUAAUACGUAGGGUGCAAGCGUUAAUCGGAAUUACUGGGCGUAAAGCGUGCGCAGGCGGUUUGCUAAGACCGAUGUGAAAUCCCCGGGCUCAACCUGGGAACUGCAUUGGUGACUGGCAGGCUAGAGUAUGGCAGAGGGGGGUAGAAUUCCACGUGUAGCAGUGAAAUGCGUAGAGAUGUGGAGGAAUACCGAUGGCGAAGGCAGCCCCCUGGGCCAAUACUGACGCUCAUGCACGAAAAGCGUGGGGAGCAAAACAGGAUUAGAUACCCCUGGUAGUCCACGCCCUAAACGAUGUCAACUAGUUGUUGGGGACUUCAUUUCCUUAGUAACGUAGCUAACGCGUGAAGUUGACCGCCUGGGGAGUACGGUCGCAAGAUUAAAACUCAAAGGAAUUGACGGGGUCAUAGCUGUUUCCU